rnacentral:rRNA from 1 species
AUGAAACUCCAAAUUGGCCUGGACAGCCUGGCAACAGGGGCAAGUACGACAACCAGCACUGCGGAGAGAAUCAAGCUGGCGCCAGACAGCAGAACUCUGUGCAUAGAAGUCAUCAACAGUAGAGUCACCCUGCUGAAGAGCAUGCUCCUGACGGACCACAAAAAGGUACAAGGCAUCACCAAAGGGCUGAUAGCGCUGACGAAGACGGGUCCACAUCUCAAAGACAGUAGGAAGACCCAGAAACUCAAAAGCAAACUGAGGCAGAACACUAGCAGUGAGAACAGCUGCAGCACGAGCAUCAUCAUCAAGCCACUGGGUGUAAACAGACAGAGCACCAUGAUACGUCUGAAGAGCCUCCUCAUAAGCCAAAACCCUCUCAUCAUAAGCACGAUCAGCAGCCUCAUCAGCAAGCUUAGCCGCAUCCUUGGCGGCCUGAUUAGCAUCCGUAGGAAGAACCGAUGGAGUCGACGGAGUGGGGGCCACCGGAGGAACCGGACGUGGCGGACAGCAGACCUCGCCAGAAAGAACACCCCAGAGACGGAUGCCACGCAUGUGAAUGCGCAUGAAGCCAGUGAACUCGGUGUAGUUAGUACCAUCAAAGAUCACCGGGCAGCGAGGGACAGCAACAUAGCCCGAUGCAGCAGACAUUUUUUUUUAGAUCCGACGAGAGCACCAGCGACAGCAGACUACCAGCAGCGGAAUCAGGCGCGAGCAGGGAGUAGCGACUUCAGGGCAGGAACGGGCGACUGGAUCAGGCGGGCGCUGGCGGAACGAGCGACCGGAACGGAUCGGGCGCUGGCUUCGAGCGGGAGCAGCUUCGACUGGAUCGAGCGACCGGAACGGGCGGGCACUGGCGAAACGAGCGACCGGACCGGAUCGGGUGCUGGCUUCGAGCGGGAGCAGCUUCGAGCGGGAGCAGAUCGGGACUCCAGAAGAGCAGGAGCAGCUUCGAGCGGGAGAUCGGGGCUUGCGCGAGACUCCAGAAGAGAGUAA